CUUCUUCUUUUUUAUUCCUCUCAUAUCCGUACGUUUCCAUCCAGUAUGCACAUACAAUACACCACAUAACUCAAGAAUCCCAAACUAAAAAAAAUAUUAAUAGUGCCAAUAACAACUUAAGCGAGGGGAAAAAACGGGGGACAAACAUAUUUUUGGUAAAAGGCUAGCGGCAGGAUCCUUGACCACCACUUUACAGCCCUGUGAUUAGUGGUUGCAGUUGCGGUGAGUUGAUCCUCCUCUUUCUGAGGCGCUCGGCGAUAAUGAAGGCGAGCUCAAGAGAUUGGGAGGCAUUCAAACGAGGGUCACAGUGGGUAUGGUAGCGUGAACCCAAGUCAUCGAAUGUAACAGUCCGGGAUCCCCCGAUGCAUUCUGUCACAUUCUGUCCAGUCAUCUCUAGAUGAACUCCUCCAGGAUGACUUCCCUCUUGCUCGUGCACGUCAAAGAAAGCUCUCACUUCAGCCUGUCGAAAAUGGAUGUGAAUUAAUUAUGUUAUUGAAAAUUAGACAAACGGAUUGGCUACUACCAUCUAAAUAAUUGGAAGCCAUAGUAAAGUAGGAGAAUAAAACAGUGGUAGCAAAAUUCAAUUGAGAAUCAUCAGGAAUAGUUUAGAUAAUCUUUAAAUAGAUUUUAUAUUGCAAUAUGGGUUUUGAAUCAAUCAUGAGUCGGGGAAAUAUGACCACCUACCAACUGAAAACAUAUUCUUCCCCGAAAAUUAUUAUAAUCAUUACUUUAAGUAAUCUCAUUUCAUGAUUUGUUCCAAACAACUUUUAAGAAAUCUUCUCUUUCUCACCUACCACACCAUCAUAUAUUUGAACUGAAAACUCUCCUCGAAAAUAGACUAAUUUUUUUAAGAUGCAAAAUGCAACCACCCAAAUGGAUUGUUUUGGUUUCUUCACAACGUGAUUGCUGUAAUGAGUGAACCUUCGAUUUUAGAAUCAAGUUUAACCCCACCAUGAUAAUAUGUUUGACUUCAAACUCUACCUAGAAAAUGUCAAACUUUUCCUUUUGAAAGGACAAAAUGAGGCCACCCGAGGGAUUUAACAUUGAAGCAAUUAUCAAUAGCCACUCCUCCUUUACUUUAUGACAAGAGGCAGAGAAAAUGCUUCUAAAACUAAAACAUUGAAGCACUUAUGCAUGGAUUCAAGAUGCAAACAAAUUGUAGCCCAUCUUUUCGAGCAUCACAUGUUAGUCUAUCUUAAAAUGUUCACAAUGAUAAACAUUUAUUCAAAUUAUGGUCCUCAGUUACUAUGACCCUUCCCUUUUUUGAACAAGGUAAUAAUUUUAUCAUAAAAAGACCUGUCAUUUGUCAUUUCAUAUCGUGAGAAAGUAUUUAAUUGGACUCGAUAAAUUGCAGGAGUCCCUAAUUCAAAGGGGUAACUGAAUAACACACAAAAUGACAAUUUAAGUCCAAUGAAUUAUCAGUAAUUAAUCCUUCAAAGUAAGAGGUUGAGUAAUGAUUAACAUACCCUUAUGGAAUCGAAGGGGCGAGUUUUGAGACCACAAGGAGCCUUGAUGGUGUUUCCAUGCAUAGGGUCACUGACCCAAGUGACAAUUUGCCCAGCACGACGCACUGCCCUAAUUAGAUGGGGAAGCUUCACUCUCAUAUUCUCAGCACCCAUUCUUGUGAUAACUGUAAUCCUUCCAGCUUUGUUCUGAGGGUUCAAAAUUUCAAUCAGCUUUACUAGUUCAUUCGG
rnacentral:lncRNA from 1 species